AGCGAACGCUGGCGGCAGGCCUAACACAUGCAAGUCGAACGAAGUCUUCGGACUUAGGGGCGGACGGGUGAGUAACACGUGGGAACGAGCCUUUAGGUACGCAAUCACUCAGGUAAACUUGUGCUAAUACCGAAUGUGCCAUUCGGGGGAAAGAGUUUUGGCCGUUGGAGCGGCGCGUGUCUGAUUCGCUAGUUGGUGAGGUAAAGGCUCAGCAAGGAGACGAUCAGGGGCUGGUCGGGGAGGAUGAUAAGCCACAUUGGGGCUGCGACACGGACCAAACUCCGACGGGGGGGAGCAGUAGGGUAUAUUGCGCAAGGGGCGAAAGCCUAACGCAGCCAUGCCGCGUGAAUGAUGAAGGUCUUAGUAUUGUGAAAUUCUUUCUGUAGAGGCGAGAAUGACGGUAACGACAGAAGAAGCCCCGGCUAACUACGUGCCAGCCGCCGCAGUAACAC
rnacentral:rRNA from 1 species